rnacentral:rRNA from 1 species
CGCCUCCUGCCCAUAUGAAUAUAGGAGGUCCCGCCUGCCCUGUGACCAAAAGUUUAACGGCCGCGGUAUUUUAACCGUGCAAAGGUAGCGCAAUCAAUUGUCUUUUAAAUGGAGACCUGUAUGAAUGGCAUAACGAGGGUUUAACUGUCUCUUUUUUCUGGUCAAUGAAACUGAUCUGCCCGUGCAGAAGCGGACAUAACAACACAAGACGAGAAGACCCUAUGGAGCUUUAGACGCCCACCAACCAUGAAAAGCACUCCGGCUUAACGGACCCCCAAACAACAUGGUUCUGGUACAAACGUCUUCGGUUGGGGCGACCACGGGGGAGAGCAAAGCCCCCGAGAGGAUUGGGGGAAACCCUAAAACCAAGAGCCACAGCUCUAAGUCACAAAACAUUUGACCAAUAAUGAUCCGGCUUAUUGCCGAUCAACGGACCAAGUUACCCUAGGGAUAACAGCGCAAUCCCCUCCCAGAGUCCAUAUCGACGAGGGGGUUUACGACCUCGAUGUUGGAUCAGGACAUCCUAAUGGUGCAGCCGCUAUUAAGGGUUCGUUUGUUCAACGAUUAAAGUCCU